rnacentral:rRNA from 1 species
AAUCAACGCUGGCGGCGUGCCUCAGACAUGCAAGUCGAACGAUUAAGACUCUCUUCGGAGAGUGUAUAAAGUGGCGCACGGGUGAGUAACACGUAGGUAAUGUACCGAAGGGUGGGGAAUAACUUAGGGAAACUUAAGCUAAUACCGCAUAAUGCAGCGGCUCGACAUCGAGACAGUUGUUAAAGGAGCAAUCCGCCUUUUGAGCAGCCUGCGGCAGAUUAGCUAGUUGGUAAGGUAAUGGCUUACCAAGGCUACGAUCUGUAACCGACCUGAGAGGGUGGUCGGUCACACUGACACUGAAUAACGGGUCAGACUCCUACGGGAGGCAGCAGUCGGGAAUUUUGGGCAAUGGGCGAAAGCCUGACCCAGCAACGCCGCGUGAAGGAUGAAGUAUUCGGUAUGUAAACUUCGUAAGAAUAGGAAGAAUAAAAUGACGGUACUAUUUGUAAGGUCCGGCUAACUACGUAGCCAGCAGCCGCGGUAAU